CUUUUGCCAAGAAACAAACACGCAAUUCUCCCUCUUUUCCUCUCUCUUCCUCAAUCCACCAGCUGGAAAAAAUCUAAGCACCUCGCAUUUGAAAAUCAGGCAAGAGAGAGAAGAAAAUGACUUUGAGCUUUGAAGAAAUGAAUUUGUUAUAUUCACUGCUGAGAUCAGAGCAAAGACCAAUCGAUGAAAUCGUCACCGAAUUUAUCAACAAUAUCAAUCGCUCUCGCUCUUCCACUCUUUCUGCUUCUCUCUCACUACUCUUACAGGAGGAUAAGAUGAUGCUCAAGUCUACGGAAAGGUUAACUGCGUUUGCGAUUCUUUAUCUGACGUAUUCAUUGCAACAGUCUUCUGCAAAUCCGUUUGUAGCUUUGUUUAUCAAUGCUGCUUGUGAUGAGGGAGCAGAAAAAUACGAGAGGGCGUUUGUUCUUCAGUUGUUAGCCUCUGGAGGCUCUGGUGGUAGCAAAGAGUUUCUUAAACAGUCUGCUGCAAAUUACAUCAAAGUUUUUGAUCCUUCAGUCCAUGCUUUCCCAUCACGUGAACAUUUGCAGCAUCAAUAUGGUGAUAAAGUCCAUCCCGAAGCAGAUAAUUCCUUAUUUAAAAACAUUUCACUGAAAAAUAUAGUGCCAGAUCCAGAUGUACCCCAUGGUUGUGAUGCAAAUUCACAAGAGUUUGAUUUGCAACCUGGAGUGAAACCUAAACUUGGAUCUGGAGAUAGAGACGAGGCUCUAACUGGAUUGUUGGCAAACUUGUCGCCAGAGGGCAUAGGUCCUCAAUGGAUCAGGUCGAGACCACCGAGGCUGCCAAUACAGGAUGGUGAAUUAGUGUGGCUCAACCCCGAUAGCAAUCAUGAGCUUGUGUGGGAUCAUUGUAUGUGUGCUGAUACUAGCAGGGGAGCAGCAGUUAGGGGGUUGAUUGCAAAAGCCUUGAAGGGACCUCUUGCGCCUUCUCAACAAGAGCAAGUCUUGGUGGAAUUGACUAAUGACCCAAAGCUUGUAUAUCACUGUGGACUGGCUCCAAGGAAGUUACCUGAAUUGGUAGAGAACAAUCCUCUCAUUGCGGUUGAAGUUAUUACCAAGUUGAUAAAUUCUCCUGAAAUUGCAGAUUACUUUACAGUACUUGUCAAUAUGGACAUGAGUCUACAUUCAAUGGAAGUCGUGAACAGGCUUACAACAGCAGUUGAACUUCCAAAGGAGUUCAUUCGAAUGUACAUAACUAACUGUAUUUCCUUGUGUGAAAAUAUCAAGGAUAAAUACAUGCAGAACCGACUUGUCAGACUUGUUUGUGUUUUCCUGCAGAGUCUAAUCCGAAACAGAAUUAUUGAUGUUAAGGAUCUUUUCAUUGAAGUCCAAGCAUUCUGCUUUGAGUUUUCACGAAUUAGAGAAGCAGCUGGUUUAUUUAGACUUCUCAAGACCUUGGAAUGAAUGGGCGUUUUUCAUGCUGUCGACGGUUUUUGGAAGAUUUGUUUGGAAGAUUUGGCUGUUCCAGGGAAGGCAUUUUGAAGCCCCAUGGAUCUUUCAUAUAUGAUAAAGUUCUAUUCUUUCUUUACUGGACCUACGUGAUGACAAACUGGCUAAAUAGAGUGCUGGUUAACAUCAUCAAUGUAGCUGGAGCACCGUACCUGAAUGAGGUAGACCUGGUUUCCUCCAACUUUGGAUAGAUCAUCGUGUUGAGAAUUAAGUCGUGAUUUAUCUGUGGUUGCAGCUACUGAUUUGGAUGCAGGGCACCAAGGAGAUCGCUCGGUAUCAUUUGCAAGCCACAAAAAUUCACACUUCCGUCUCAAAAUAUUAACUGUAGGCCUGCCAAUGCACCAUGGCCGGUUUGGAUCCAAAGAAAGCUAUUGGAAACCAUUUUCAAGAAUAUGUAAUCAACACCCUUGUUCCAUCAAUCCACAUCAUCUCUCACUGUCCAAACCAUGCCACAUAAAAGUCAAGGGUCUAAGUUUACCAAAGCUACUGAGAGUCUUGAGAAGUGGAGGCCACAUGGUAUAGACACCAGCAACAUCCACCCCCACCACCACCAGCCCCCAUCGGCACUACCAUUACCACCAUUGUUCCAAAUGUAAAUCUUAGGCUGUCAAUUUUAUGUUAUUUAAUUUCCAUGUUUUUGAAGUUAUUAAUAGCUUAAUCCUUUUCUAUGUUUUUGAAUUCGUUUGUAAGUUAAUUCUUUUCGUCGAUUUCAUAUUAUUUUUUAGAUGAA